rnacentral:rRNA from 3 species
AGCAGUAGGGAAUCUUCCACAAUGGGCGCAAGCCUGAUGGAGCAACACCGCGUGAGUGAAGAAGGGUUUCGGCUCGUAAAGCUCUGUUGUUGGAGAAGAACGUGCGUGAGAGUAACUGUUCACGCAGUGACGGUAUCCAACCAGAAAGUCACGGCUAACUACGUGCCAGCAGCCGCGGUAAUACGUAGGUGGCAAGCGUUAUCCGGAUUUAUUGGGCGUAAAGCGAGCGCAGGCGGUUGCUUAGGUCUGAUGUGAAAGCCUUCGGCUUAACCGAAGAAGUGCAUCGGAAACCGGGCGACUUGAGUGCAGAAGAGGACAGUGGAACUCCAUGUGUAGCGGUGAAAU